rnacentral:rRNA from 1 species
GACGAACCGUGCGAACGUUGUUCGGAAUCACUGGGCUUAAAGGGCGCGUAGGCGGCCCGCGAGGUCGGGGGUGAAAUCCCACGGCUCAACCGUGGAAGGGCCUCCGAUACCGGCGGGCUGGAGGAAGGUAGGGGUGCGCGGAACUUCUGGUGGAGCGGUGAAAUGCGUAGAUAUCGGGAGGAACACCGGUGGCGAAGGCGGCCUUCUGGACGGAUACUGACGCUGAUACGCGAAAGCGUGGGGAGCAAACAGG